AACGGCCAUACCAUGCUGAAUAUACCGGUUCUCGUUAGAUCACCGAAGUCAAGCAUCAUUGGGCGCGGUCAGUGCUUCGCU